UGAAUACGAGAUGCUACGGCGUCGAAGCAGUGUAUGUCAGACUUCCAAGAAAAGCUCGCACUGUCAUAAAUAAAGAAUGCCUGUACCAUAACCGACACAGGUGGGUAGGUAGAGUAUACUAAGGGGCGCGAGAUAACUCUCUCUAAGGAACUCGGCAAAAUAACUCCGUAACUUCGGGAGAAGGAGUGCCUUCUUUAGGAAGGUUGCAAUAACAAGAUCCAAGCAACUGUUUAUCAAAAACACAGGUCUCCGCUAAGUCGAAAGACGAUGUAUGGGGGCUGACGCCUGCCCAGUGCCAGAAGGUUAAAGAAGCUGGUUAGCAAUAGCGAAGCUGGUGACUGAAGCCCUGGUGAACGGCGGCCGUAACUAUAACGGUCCUAAGGUAGCGAAAUUCCUUGUCGGGUAAGUUCCGACCCGCACGAAAGGCGUAAUGGUUUGGAUACUGUCUCGGAGAGGGACUCGGUGAAAUAGACUUGUCUGUGAAGAUGCGGACUACCUGCACCAGGACAGAAAGACCCUAUGAAGCUUUACUGUAACUUGAAAUUGAAAUUGGACUUUAUUUGCGCAGUAUAGGUGGGAGGCGUUGAAAGUAAUCUUGCGGGAUUAGUGGAGCCAUCAGUGAGAUACCACUCCUAUAAUGUUAGAUUUCUAACUUUGUAUCAUGAUCUGGUCAAAGAACAGUUUCAGGCGGGCAGUUUGACUGGGGCGGUCGCCUCCCAAAUGGUAACGGAGGCGUACAAAGGUUUCCUCUGAACGGGUAGAAAUCGUAUCUAGAGUGUAAAGGCAUAAGGAAGCUUGACUGUGAGACCUACAAGUCGAGCAGGGACGAAAGUCGGUCUUAGUGAUCUGACGGUGCUGAGUGGAAAGGCCGUCACUCAACGGAUAAAAGUUACUCUAGGAUAACAGGCUGAUCUCCCCCAAGAGUUCACAUCGACGGGGAGGUUUGGCACCUCGAUGUCGGCUCAUCGCAUCCUGGGGCGGUAGUACGUCCCAAGGGUUGGGCUGUUCGCCCAUGAAAGCGGUACGCGAGCUGGGUUCAGAACGUCGUGAGACAGUUCGGUCCAUAUCCGGUGUAGGCGCUAGAAUAUUGAGAGGAGCCUUCUUUAGUACGAGAGGACCGAGAAGGACAUACCUCUGGUGUACCAGUUAUCGUGCCAACGGUAAACGCUGGGUAGCUAUGUAUGGAGAGGAUAACCGCUGAAAGCAUCUAAGUGGGAAGCCCACCUCAAGAU
rnacentral:rRNA from 1 species